CCUACGGGUGGCAGCAGUGGGGAAUAUUGCACAAUGGGCGCAAGCCUGAUGCAGCCAUGCCGCGUGUGUGAAGAAGGCCUUCGGGUUGUAAAGCACUUUCAGCGGGGAGGAAGGCGGUGAGGUUAAUAACCUCAUCGAUUGACGUUACCCGCAGAAGAAGCACCGGCUAACUCCGUGCCAGCAGCCGCGGUAAUACGGAGGGUGCAAGCGUUAAUCGGAAUUACUGGGCGUAAAGCGCACGCAGGCGGUCUGUCAAGUCGGAUGUGAAAUCCCCGGGCUCAACCUGGGGACUGCAUUCGAAACUGGCAGGCUAGAGUCUUGUAGAGGGGGGUAGAAUUCCAGGUGUAGCGGUGAAAUGCGUAGAGAUCUGGAGGAAUACCGGUGGCGAAGGCGGCCCCCUGGACAAAGACUGACGCUCAGGUGCGAAAGCGUGGGGAGCAAACAGGAUUAGAUACCCUAGUAGUC
rnacentral:rRNA from 1 species